GCGCGAACACUUUACAAUGCUGGCAACAGCGAUAAGGGAACCUCGAGUGCCAGGUUACAAAUCUGGCUGUCGAGAUGCCUAAAAAGCAUUUCAUAGCAAGGGCCGGGCAAGACCGGUGCCAGCCGCCGCGGUAACACCGGCGGCUCGAGUGGUAACCGUUAUUAGUGGGUCUAAAGGGUCUGUAGCCGGCCGGAUAAGUCUCUUGAGAAAUCUGGCAGCUUAACUGUCAGGCUUUCAGGAGAUACUGUCUGGCGCGAGGCCGGGAGAGGUGAGAGGUACUUCCGGGGUAGGGGUGAAAUCUUGUAAUCCUUGAAGGACCACCAGUGGCGAAGGCGUCUCACCAGAACGGACCUGACGGCAAGGGACGAAAGCUAGGGGCACGAACC
rnacentral:rRNA from 1 species